AUUGAAUGCUGGCGGCAGGCCUAACACAUGCAAGUCGAACGGUAACAGGAAUAAGCUUGCUUCUUUGCUUACGAGUGGCGGACGGGCGAGUAAUGUCUGGGAAACUGCCUGAUGGAGGGGGAUAACUACUGGAAACGGUAGCUAAUACCGCAUAACGUCGCAAGACCAAAGAGGGGGACCUUCGGGCCUCUUGCCAUCGGAUGUGCCCAGAUGGGAUUAGCUAGUAGGUGGGGUAACGGCUCACCUAGGCGACGAUCCCUAGCUGGUCUGAGAGGAUGACCAGCCACACUGGAACUGAGACACGGUCCAGACUCCUACGGGAGGCAGCAGUGGGGAAUAUUGCACUAAUGGGCGCAAGCCUGAUGCAGCCAUGCCGCGUGUAUGAAGAAGGCCUUCGGGUUGUAAAGUACUUUCAGCGGGGAGGAAGGGAGUAAGUUAAUACCUU
rnacentral:rRNA from 1 species